GUGCACACUUUGGCAGCACAUAUACUAAAAUUGGAACAAUACAGAGAAGAUUAGGUUGCCCCGUGAAAGGAUGAUAUGCAAAUGUGUGAAGCAUUCUAUAUUCUG